AUUGAACGCUGGCGGCAUGCUCUACACAUGCAUGUCGAACGGUAACAGGCCGCAAGGUGCUGACGAGUGGCGAACGGGUGAGUAAUGCAUCGGAACGUGCCCAGUCGUGGGGGAUAACUACUCGAAAGAGUAGCUAAUACCGCAUACGAUCUAUGGAUGAAAGCGGGGGACCGUAAGGCCUCGCGCGAUUGGAGCGGCCGAUGUCAGAUUAGGUAGUUGGUGGGGUAAAGGCUCACCAAGCCAACGAUCUGUAGCUGGUCUGAGAGGACGACCAGCCACACUGGGACUGAGACACGGCCCAGACUCCUACGGGAGGCAGCAGUGGGGAAUUUUGGACAAUGGGCGCAAGCCUGAUCCAGCAAUGCCGCGUGCAGGAAGAAGGCCUUCGGGUUGUAAACUGCUUUUGUACGGAACGAAACGGCUCUGGUUAAUACCCGGGGCUAAUGACGGUACCGUAAGAAUAAGCACCGGCUAACUACGUG
rnacentral:rRNA from 1 species